UGUGUGUGUGUGUACGUGAAAGGAAGAAGAAGAAGAUGGAGGAUUGGGCAAAGCUGCCCAAUCGGAACAGGAGAGAGGGAGGAGUUGGGCCAACCAGAAAGAAGAGAAAGUGGAGGACCAAUCAGAGGGAGAAGAAAGGAGGAAAGGAGAGAGGGCAAGAAGCGGAGGAGAGAAGGAAGGAAACGGGUUUUCCCCCAACCCGUUUACCCGCGCACCCACCUCCAUUUUUCCGACGAUUUUCACCGGAUUUCUCACGAAUUGGAUCAAGGUACCACUCCCAAUCAACACCUAGGCCUUCCCUCUUCAUUUUUCACCCAAAAAUCAUGAAAUUUGAUGGUGAUUUGGUGAAAACCGCACCCGUGGGUGCCGCGACUUUUUGUUCAAAUUGUUCAAAUAUUGAAAUGUUUUCUUUCAAUUACUAACACCAUUAGCAUUCCCCUAGGACCUGGAACAAAGCCCAAGCAUUGGUUGGGACGGCGGAAUUGAUUUGAAGGUCGAAUUGAAAACAUCCAAUUCUAGGGUUCUUCACGGUUUUGGUGAAAUUGGAGCUCUUCCAGGCCAAAUUGGCC
rnacentral:lncRNA from 1 species